GAUGAACGCUGGCGGCGUGCUUAACACAUGCAAGUCGAACGGAAAGGCUCCUGCUUGCAGGGGUACUCGAGUGGCGAACGGGUGAGUAACACGUGGGUGAUCUGCCCUGCACUUCGGGAUAAGCCUGGGAAACUGGGUCUAAUACCGGAUAGGACGAUGGUUUGGAUGCCAUUGUGGACAGUUUUUCGGUGUGGGAUGAGCUCGCGGCCUAUCAGCUUGUUGGUGGGGUAAUGGCCUACCAAGGCGUCGACGGGUAGCCGGCCUGAGAGGGUGUACGGCCAAAUUGGGACUGAGAGACGGGCCAGACUCCAACGGGAGGCAGAAGUGGGGAAUAUUGCACAAUGGGAGCAAGCCUGAUGCAGCGACGCCGCGUGGGGGAUGACGGCCUUCGGGUUGUAAACUCCUUUCGCUAGGGACGAAGCGCAAGUGACGGUACCUGGAGAAGAAGAACCGGCUAACUACGUG
rnacentral:rRNA from 1 species